rnacentral:rRNA from 1 species
GGACGAACGCUGGCGGCGUGCUUAACACAUGCAAGUCGAACGCUGAAGGCCUGGCUUUUGUUGGGUUGGAUGAGUGGCGAACGGGUGAGUAACACGUGAGUAACCUGCCCUCUUCCUUGGGAUAACGCCCGGAAACGGGUGCUAAUACUGGAUAUUCACUGAUCUUCGCAUGGGGGUUGGUGGAAAGGUUUGUUCUGGUGGGGGAUGGGCUCGCGGCCUAUCAGCUUGUUGGUGGGGUGAUGGCCUACCAAGGCUUUGACGGGUAGCCGGCCUGAGAGGGUGACCGGUCACAUUGGGACUGAGAUACGGCCCAGACUCCUACGGGAGGCAGCAGUGGGGAAUAUUGCACAAUGGGCGAAAGCCUGAUGCAGCGACGCCGCGUGAGGGAUGGAGGCCUUCGGGUUGUAAACCUCUUUCGCUCAUGGUCAAGCCGCAACUGUGGGUUGUGGUGAGGGUAGUGGGUAAAGAAGCGCCGGCUAACUACGUG